rnacentral:rRNA from 1 species
CACCCCUACGGGAGGCAGCAGUGGGGAAUUUUGGACAAUGGGCGAAAGCCUGAUCCAGCAAUGCCGCGUGAGUGAAGAAGGCCUUCGGGUUGUAAAGCUCUUUUGUCAGGGAAGAAACGGUGAAAGCUAAUAUCUUUUGCUAAUGACGGUACCUGAAGAAUAAGCACCGGCUAACUACGUGCCAGCAGCCGCGGUAAUACGUAGGGUGCAAGCGUUAAUCGGAAUUACUGGGCGUAAAGCGUGCGCAGGCGGUUUUGUAAGUCUGAUGUGAAAUCCCCGGGCUCAACCUGGGAAGUGCAUUGGAGACUGCAAGGCUAGAGUCUGGCAGAGGGGAGUAGAAUUCCACGUGUAGCAGUGAAAUGCGUAGAUAUGUGGAGGAACACCGAUGGCGAAGGCAGCCCCCUGGGUCAAGAUUGACGCUCAUGCACGAAAGCGUGGGGAGCAAACAGGAUUAGAAACCCGAGUAGUCCCA